CUACGUGCCAGCAGCCGCGGUAAUACGUAGGGCGCGAGCGUUGUCCGGAAUUAUUGGGCGUAAAGAGCUUGUAGGCGGUUUGUCGCGUCUGCUGUGAAAGGCCGGGGCUUAACUCCGUGUAUUGCAGUGGGUACGGGCAGACUAGAGUGCAGUAGGGGAGACUGGAAUUCCUGGUGUAGCGGUGGAAUGCGCAGAUAUCAGGAGGAACACCAAUGGCGAAGGCAGGUCUCUGGGCUGUAACUGACGCUGAGAAGCGAAAGCAUGGGGAGCGAACAGGAUUAGAUACCCUGGUAGUCCACGCUGUAAACGAUGUCGAUUUGGGGGUUGAACUUUGAGUUUGGCGCCCGUAGCUAACGUGAUAAAUCGACCGCCUGGGGAGUACGGCCGCAAGGUUAAAACUCAAAUGAAUUGACGGGGGCCCGCACAAGCGGUGGAGCAUGUGGUUUAAUUCGAUGCAACGCGAAGAACCUUACCUACUCUUGACAUCCAGAGAACAUUC
rnacentral:rRNA from 1 species